UGCCAGCAGCCGCGGUAAUACGGAGGGUGCAAACGUUGCUCGGAAUUAUUGGGCGUAAAGCGCGUGUAGGCGGCUUGUUAAGUCAAGUGUGAAAUCCCUGGGCUCAACCCAGGAACUGCGCUUGAUACUGGCAAGCUAGAAUACAGGAGAGGAUAGCGGAAUUCCCGGUGUAGAGGUGAAAUUCGUAGAUAUCGGGAGGAACACCAGUGGCGAAGGCGGCUAUCUGGACGGUGACUGACGCUGAGACGCGAAAGUGUGGGGAGCAAACAGGAUUAGAUA
rnacentral:rRNA from 1 species